CGACCUCAUCACGUAGAAACAUCGGCCACCAUACGAUCACCGAAAUUAAGCAACAUCAAGCCUGAACAGUACCUAGUUGGGUUACCGCUUGGGAAUUCCCGGUGCUGUAAG